rnacentral:lncRNA from 1 species
CGAUCAGUCUCAACCAAGCACAGCCUGUGCUUGUGCUCUGGUGGAUCUUGUUGAAGCAGUGACUCAUGUCGCUGGCAGCAAGGCUGAACUGCAAGCGCAGUUAACAACUCACCUAGCUGAAGAUAACCUCCCUGGGAGUAUUGAUGCAAGUCAUCUUCCCCCGUCUCCCAUUGAUUGGAGUCACGUGACUGGAUUGUUACCUCUGAUUGGUCAUUGUGUUCGAAUGUUGAAAGAACAGUUUGUGUCACUAGAGGAGAGUGUAGCG